rnacentral:rRNA from 1 species
GAUUGAACGCUGGCGGCAUGCCUUACACAUGCAAGUCGAACGGCAGCACGGGUGCUUGCACCUGGUGGCGAGUGGCGAACGGGAGAGUAAUACAUCGGAACAUGUCCUGUAGUGGGGGAUAGCCCGGCGAAAGCCGGAUUAAUACCGCAUACGAUCUACGGAUGAAAGCGGGGGACCUUCGGGCCUCGCGCUAUAGGGUUGGCCGAUGGCUGAUUAGCUAGUUGGUGGGGUAAAGGCCUACCAAGGCGACGAUCAGUAGCUGGUCUGAGAGGACGACCAGCCACACUGGGACUGAGACACGGCCCAGACUCCUACGGGAGGCAGCAGUGGGGAAUUUUGGACAAUGGGCGAAAGCCUGAUCCAGCAAUGCCGCGUGUGUGAAGAAGGCCUUCGGGUUGUAAAGCACUUUUGUCCGGAAAGAAAUCCUUGGCCCUAAUACGGUCGGGGGAUGACGGUACCGGAAGAAUAAGCACCGGCUAACUACGUG